GGGGCAACGAAAUAGGAAGUUAGGGUACCCAAACCCAACCAUGAUUCAUAUCCUUCAUCAAAACCAAACAAAAUAGACCAGUUCGACUCAUAUACCGCCUUCAGAUCAAUCAGUCCCGAAUCGACCCAGCCCGUCCCGUACCGCCUUCUCUGGCUCUACAUCUGAUUCCCCAAAUCGACCCCACUAACCAACGCCUCCUCCGCUUCUAUCCCGCCGCCGCAGCUCCUCCAUCGGCCAGCCGCCCCCAACGCCGGCGAGCGAUACACUGCCGCCCUCCCGACGCGGCUACUGGCGCUACGCCCGGAGAGAGGAGCAAGCGCUGUCUAGUUACGCGCGCGGGCGAGCGAGCAGCCGAGGCGCCGUGCAUCUCUCCCUCCCCUGUUUCCGAUUCCUAGACCUAGCGGCGGCGGCGAUUCCAACUCCGGCCGGCCCUCUCCCUCCCCGUCCCCUCCUCCAAUCCGGCCGACCCUCCCCCUCGGCCGGUCCGCCCCUCCCGGACUGCCCCGGACCGGCUCGGCCGCUCGGGGAUCCAGCCUCCGGCCUCCCCGGACCCCCUGCUGCCGCUGCCUGCUGGCGCCCUCCACCUCCAGUCCUCUCCUCCACGGAUGCACCGCUGACCCCUCCUCUACUGACCACGGCACAGCUCCAGUGCUCCACCAAGGAAUACCAAGUAGCAAAUUCCUGGCUCCGCCACCACGAUGAGUUCCGAUGGGAGACUUGACCUCGACGCGACGACAAGCACCCUCGGGCCGGAGGAUGACACGGCGCAGGGUCUGAUACUGCCGACCAAGGAUAAGGUCAUGUACCGGCCUCCGCCGGGGAAAUCCGCGCUAGGUUUGGACCUGCUCGCACACAAGAAAAGAGAAAAGGAAGGUAACAAUUCAUUUAAGCGGCCUCCUGAGAAGGUAGUGACGGUUGCUUCUUCUAUGGAUGAAGAUGAGAGGCCAGGAUCUACAGAAAAUGAUGCAAGCAGCCUGUCCGGUGGUGACCGUGGCAGCGUGGCUCGCCGUUAUCGAGGAACCAAUUCCAGUGAGAAAACAUCGUCGAAAGAAUCUACAGUCACUGAUGAGAAUGAAAGGGGUCUUACACCCAGACAUCGAGAUGAAUCCCAUCGGCAACAGACCCCCGCCUCUAGGUACGAACCGAAUGAUGACAGAGGAUCCCGUGACAAACGUGGUGAACGCGAGACAUCUGCAUCCAUUGGUUAUAGUAGCAGUGGAAAGCGAGGAUACCGUGAUGACAGGGAAUCGAAUAGUAGGCGUAAUGAACGGAGCAGAUCUACAUCUAUCGACUACACAAACAAAAGAAGUCGGGAUGACUAUAGCUUGAGAAGCUCAAGAACACCUGCAAGAUCUGACUGGGACAGUGGCCGAUGGGAAUGGGAAGAUACACCUCGCCGGGAGUACCGUGAUGAUCGUCCUGGCUCCCAAAGACAUUAUCCAACACGAUCUCCUAUGCUAGCUGCUGCAUCUCCUGAUGCACGAUUGGUGUCUCCUUGGCUAGGCGGGAAUACACCCCGUUCCGCAGCCUCCCCUUGGGAUCAUGUUUCGCCCUCACCUGCUCCUGUGAGGGCUUCAGGUUCAUCAAAAGGGUCUUCGUAUUCAAGUUCCAGUGGAAGAUCUCAUCAGCUUACCUUUUCAAAUGAUGCUGAAGCUGAUAGAAGCCCCUCAGCUGCUGAUAGGAACUAUGAGAUUACCGAGGAAAUGAUGCAAGAGAUGGAUUAUAAUGCUGACCGUGCUUGGUAUGAUUGUGAAGAACACAACACUGUGUUCGAUGGUGAUAAUUAUGCUGCAGACGAUAGCUCCUACAAAAAGAAGGAAGCACAAUUGCCUAAGAAAUUGACUCGUAAAGAUGGUAGUCUGAUGACCCUUUCUCAGAGCAAGAAAUUAUCACAGAUGACUGCUGAUAAUGCUCAGUGGGAGGACAGACAAUUGUUGAGGUCUGGAGCUGUUAGAGGAACAGAGGUGCAGACAGAAUUUGAUGAUGAGGACGAGCGUAAAGUAAUACUUCUUGUUCAUGAUACGAAACCUCCCUUCCUGGAUGGGCGAGUUGUAUACACAAAGCAAGCAGAGCCUGUAAUGCCACUGAAGGAUCCAACAUCUGAUAUGGCUAUCAUUGCACGAAAGGGUUCUGUUUUGGUUAGGGAAAUUCGUGAAAAGCAGAGCCAGAACAAGUCGCGGCAACGCUUCUGGGAGCUUGCUGGAUCUAAUCUUGGAAAUAUAUUGGGUGUUGAGAAAACGUCUGAACAGGUUGAUGCAGAUACUGCUGUUGUUGGUGAUCAAGGGGAGAUCGAUUUCAAGGAGGAAGCAAAGUUUUCGCAACACUUGAAGGAAAAAGCAGAAGCUGUCAGUGAUUUUGCAAGAUCUAAAUCUCUUUCUCAGCAAAGACAAUAUCUUCCCAUAUAUACUGUUCGAGAUGACCUGCUACAGGUUGUGCGUGAAAAUCAAGUAGUUGUGGUCGUUGGUGAAACUGGUUCUGGGAAGACCACUCAACUUACUCAGUACCUGCAUGAGGAUGGAUAUACCACAACUGGUGUUGUUGGCUGUACUCAACCGAGACGUGUGGCUGCCAUGAGUGUUGCCAAGCGGGUCAGUGAAGAAAUGGAAACCGAACUUGGUGAUAAAGUUGGAUAUGCUAUCCGAUUUGAGGACGUCACUUGUUCUAGCACUAUAAUAAAGUAUAUGACAGAUGGAGUGCUUCUUCGUGAAACCUUGAAAGAUGCUGACCUUGAUAAAUAUCGUGUUAUCGUCAUGGAUGAAGCACACGAAAGAUCCCUCAAUACUGAUGUUUUGUUUGGCAUAUUGAAGAAGGUUGUUGCACGUCGGCGGGAUUUUAAGCUAAUUGUCACAUCUGCAACCCUAAAUGCAGACAAAUUCUCAAAGUUCUUUGGAGGUGUGCCUGUAUUUAACAUUCCAGGCAGGACAUUUCCAGUUAAUAUCUUGUUUAGCAAAACACCAUGUGAAGAUUAUGUGGAAGCGGCAGUGAAGCAGGCCAUGACAAUUCACAUAACGAGUGGCCCUGGUGACAUCCUCAUCUUCAUGACCGGGCAGGAAGAGAUCGAGGCUACUUGCUAUGCUCUUGCUGAGCGCAUGGAGCAGCUAAUAUCGUCAUCCACGAAGAAUGUACCCAAGCUCUCCAUCUUGCCGAUUUACUCGCAGUUGCCUGCUGACUUGCAGGCCAAGAUCUUUCAGAAGGCAGAAGAGGGCACUCGCAAAUGCAUUGUUGCUACCAAUAUUGCUGAGACAUCCCUCACAGUGGAUGGCAUCUUCUAUGUCAUUGAUACCGGGUAUGGAAAGAUGAAGGUAUACAAUCCACGGAUGGGCAUGGAUGCUCUUCAAGUUUUUCCGUGUAGUCGAGCAGCUGCAGACCAGCGUGCAGGACGUGCUGGAAGAACCGGUCCUGGCACAUGCUACAGGCUGUUCACAGAAUCAGCUUACCAGAAUGAGAUGCUCCCUAACCCCGUGCCAGAGAUUCAAAGGACUAACCUGGGAAACGUGGUUCUCUUACUGAAGUCCCUCAAAGUCGAAAACUUGCUUGAUUUUGACUUCAUGGACCCACCCCCCCAGGAGAAUAUCCUCAACUCCAUGUACCAGCUCUGGGUGUUGGGCGCCUUGAACAAUGUUGGUGGACUUACAGAAAUAGGUUGGAAGAUGGUGGAGUUCCCAUUGGACCCAACUCUAGCAAAGAUGCUUCUCAUGGGGGAGAAGCUGGACUGCCUUGAUGAAGUAUUAACCAUUGUAUCCAUGCUCUCAGUACCCUCAGUUUUCUUCCGGCCAAAAGAUCGAGCAGAGGAGAGCGACGCAGCAAGGGAAAAAUUCUUUGUCCCAGAGUCUGACCACCUAACGCUCCUGAAUGUAUACCUGCAGUGGAAGUCAAACCAAUAUCGAGGAGACUGGUGCAAUGACCAUUUCCUCCAUGUUAAGGGUCUCCGUAAGGCUCGGGAAGUGAGAUCUCAACUGCUAGACAUUCUGAAAGCCCUGAAGAUCCCACUGACAUCAUGCCAUAUGGAAUGGGACGUGGUGAGGAAAGCUAUCUGCUCGGCGUACUUCCAUAACUCGGCAAGGUUGAAGGGCAUAGGAGAGUAUGUCAACUGCCGGAAUGGGAUGCCGUGCCACCUGCAUCCGAGCAGUGCUCUGUAUGGUCUCGGGUACACCCCUGACUAUGUGGUGUACCACGAGCUUGUCCUGACAACCAAGGAGUAUAUGCAGUGUGUGAGCGCAGUGGAUCCGCAAUGGCUGGCGGAGCUGGGUCCUAUGUUCUUCUCUGUGAAAGACACGGACACCUCCCUGCUGGACCACAAGAAGAGACAGAAGGAGGAGAAGACGGCCAUGGAAGAGGAGAUGGAGAAGCUGAGGCAGGAACAGGCGGAGGCAGCACUCGUGGAGAAGGAGAGGGAGCGACGGAAGAGAGCCAAGCAGCAGCAGCAGAUCUCUAUGCCGGGUCUGAAGAAAGGUUCGACAUAUCUGAGGCCCAAGAAGAUGGGUUUAUAGAUAACAAAGCUGGAAGAAGCUUUUGCAGUGUAUUGUGAUUUUUGUAGGCCGAGGGAAACUUGUACAAUAGUUAUAAUAUGUCGGUGAUUCACUCACGCCUGAAGGAAUCUAGUAGUUCAAGCCUGCACUCUGCAGCAUGUACAACACACAUGAAUGUAACAUUUACAUCACUUGAGAGAGGAGACGGCACUGUCAAGCACUUGUCACGAUGGCAAAUUGUUCUUCUUGGUGCUUGUUUGUAUGUCAGUACU
rnacentral:rRNA from 1 species